rnacentral:rRNA from 1 species
GUAUGAACGGUUAAACAAAAGAUUCCUUUGAUUAUUGUUAUCUAUUAAUUUGUAUUUUAGGUUAAAAUACUUAAAUAAACCAAGGGGACGAUAAGACCCUAAAAGCUUUAAUUAGAGCUUUAAACUAGCUGUUUGAUAAAGGGAGUUUAAAGACCAUAUUAUUGACUGGGGAAGUUAAUUUGGUAUUUUCGAGAGUAGUGUUAAAUUUUUAUACGCAGUUUAGAGAUCCUUCAAAUGAGGGGGGUUAGACGAAGUUACUUUAGGGAUAACAGCACAAUAGUUUUGAAGAGACCAUAUCGAUAAAUUUGAUUGUGACCUCGAUGUUGAAUUAAAAAUUCUUUGUUCAGUAGAAAGUACAAGAGAGGGUUUGUUCAACCCUUAAAUUUUUACAUGAUUU